AUACGAAGUGUCGCACAGGGUGACACCCGACCUAGCGACGCCACUGGCCUAAAGGCUGACGAAAUGGCCCACUGAUAAUUUUUGCAUAGGGGCCCAAAAAUCCUAGCUACGCCACUGCACUGACAAUACCGUUUCUGUAGAGACUAAGUCUCCCGGCAAAGCGGUCUUAUUGAAUAUGACACCUGCCAGUGGGACCCCUUCAUCAAUAUUCUUUAGAGUUAGCUUAUCCAACACUCUUAUGUAAUACAACGUAUGCAUCUCUUGUUUGGCAGGCCUUAUUUUUAUAUUAGUUAAUCUAUUAUAAAAUAUAGUAUGUUUUAAUUUAAGGGUCAUCUAUCUAUGACUUCCAUAACUGAGUCGGUUAUUAUAGGCUGUUCCAACUUAGUGUGUGGGGAGAAGGGUCCACGCUGAACCUUCCUAACUGCAGUAUGCUUGUAGGUUAUCAAAACAAAAUGCUGUUAUCUUGUAAACAUCAUGUAUAUUGUAUAUCAUACAUUUACACUUCUGUGCUUGCUUUUAAGCAACAGCUUUUCUGUUGUAAAUUAAACAUUAUCAAAACUUUAGGAUUGGUGGAAUUUAGCUGUUAAGGACUCGAUUUGUUUGUGAAUUAAUGUUGGUUCAUAAAAAACAAUUUCAUUCGGGCAUUUAAAAGAGGUUAUAGUGGUAUUGGAGGUAGGACACAAUGGUUACUUUUAUGCCAAUAGUGGUCAUGCCAUUCAUUGGUCUUGAGCCAAUAUGUCGGGAGUCAUUUUGUCAAAAGCCAAUAUGUCGGGAGCCCAAUUGCCGGGAGACCAUUUGUCUUGAGCCCUUAUGUCGGGAGCCAAUAUGUCGGGAGCCGCUUUGUCGGGAGCCAAUAUGUCAGGAGCCUAUUUGUCAGGGGUUAAUAUGUCGGGAGUUCAUUUGUCGGGAGCCUAAAUAUCGGGAGCCCAUUUGUCGGGAGCCUAUAUGUCGCAAGUCAAUAUGACGGAAGCCCAUUUGACGGGAGCCAAUAAGUCGGGGCCCUUUUGACGGGGCUAUUUUGACUGGGUCGUUUUGUCGGGGGUCGAUUUGACGGGGUCAAAUUAACGGGGCCGUUUUGACGGGGGCGAUUUGUCCAGGGCCGUUUUGACAGGGCUCGUGCCGCGUCAAAACGGCCAAUGACAAAACGGCCCCGUCAAUACGACCCCGACAAAUCGGCCCCGUCAAAAGGGCCAGCGACAUAUGGACCCCGUCAUAUAGGCUGCCGACAAAUAGGCUCCCGUCAUAUAGGCUUCCGACAAAAGGGCUCCAGUCAAUAAGGCCCCUGUCAUUUAGUUUUUUUGACAAAACGGCCCCCGUCAUUACGACUCCCGAUAAAUAGGCUCCCGCCAUUUAGUUUCUCCACAAAACGACCCCCUUCAUUACGACUCCCGACAAAUAGGUUCCCGUCAUUUUGGCUCACGACAAAUAGGCUCUUGUCAAUUUGACUCCCGACAAAAAGACUUCUGUAGAGACUAAGUCUCCCGGCAAAACGGUCUCUAUGAAUAUGACACCUGCCAGUGGGGCCCCUUCAUCAAUAUUCUUUAGAGUUAGCUUAUCUAACUAUCUUUAGUAAUACAACGUAUGCAUCUCUGGUUCGGCGGGCCUUAUUUUUAUAAUAGUUUAUCUAUUAUAAGAAAUAGUAUGUUUUAAUUUAAGGGUCAUCUAUCUAUGACUUAAAUAAAUGGGUCGAUUAUAUGCUGUUCCAACUCAAGUGUGUGGGGAGAGGGGUCCACGCUGUACAUCCCUAACUUCAGUAUGCUUGUAGGUUAUCAAAACAAAAUGUCGUUAUCUUGUAAACAUCAUUUUAUCAUACAUUUACACUUCUGUGCUCGCCUUUAAGCAACAGAUAUUUUCUGUUGUAAAUUAAACAUUAUCACAAUUCUAGAAUUGGUGGAAUUUAGCUGUUAAGGGCUAGAUUUGUUUGUGAAUUGAUGUUUGCUCAUGAAACACAAUUUCUUGCAGCCAUUAAAAGAGGUUAUAGUGGUAGUGGAGGUCAAACAAAUGGUUACUUUUAUGUCAAUAGUGGUCAUACGAUUCGUUUGUCUGGAGCCAAUAUGUCGGGAGUAAUUUUGUCGGGAGCCAAUAUAUCGGGAGCCCUUUUGUCGGUAGCCAAUAUGUCGUGAGCCCUUAUGACUGGUGCCAAUAAGUCGGGAGCCGCUUUGUCGGGAGCCAAUAUGUCCUGAGCCUAUUUGUAGGGAGCCAAUAUGCCGGGAUAUCUAUAUCUAUAUCUAUAUCUAUAUCUAUAUCUCUAUCUCUAUCUGUAUCUCUAUCUGUAUCUGUAUCUCUAUCUCUAUCUCUAUCCACCCCAUGCGAAUGGCUAUCUCUGUUUCUGUCAAUGAUCAGAUCACUGAGUAACUAAUAGAUAUACCCGCACUUCCUGUGUGGAUCAGCCGACUAACUCAAUGAUAAUUGCUCCGUCUCUAAGCAGUUUGAAUCUAUAAAUAGAAUAACAAAAGGAAGGAAACGAAAUUUUAAACUGAUUUCCGCCAUUAAAAAAAUAACAUGAAACCUACAGUUCACGACACAUCGCAUAGGAAUUUAAAAUAAAUAUUAGGCCUAUAGGUUUAAUACAUAUUGCAUAGAAUAUAGAAAUUUAGAUCUAGUGUUCUGGUUAGUAGUUAUUUCAUGUUUAUUAGAAUAUAGUCUAGAAUCUAAUCAUACGGCUGCAUAAAAAGAAAGUUUGAAGGAAAUAGAAUAGGAAUCUAGAGAAGCGGAGUGUUUUCCGCCGAGGAAAGAGGUUGCAGGGAAUUUAGAGACUAAUCUUUGCCAACAUACUGGAUUUCUGGUGAUGACAAUAGCAGCAGAUAGUAUGCGGCUCAGUUAAUACUAAAAACAAUUGAUUUUACUAAUUAGUGGACUAUGAGUGUGUGUUUGGCCAUCCAGAUUUCAUAACUACAACUGAUGUUCAAUUACAAGGGAUAUUAAUCAGUCUCCGUGGACUAUACACUGUGCCUAGUUUCAUCCUCAGAGACUGAUGUGUAAUCUUAAAGUAAAGACAUCAAAUCAAAGUAACAGCCAUCAAGAGGAAAAACAUUCAAAAUCAUAUUGUGAUACACAAGUCAAGCAAGUCUGACCAGCAUUUUGAUACAGUCCAAGAAAAAGCUGGAUACUUGAUUGGAAGGGUCGCACAAAAAACAUGGGUUAUCACUAGGGAAACAAGCUCGCAAUACAGUUCACUGUUAGGACAGCAAGCCAAAUACUUCUAAACUUAUUUGAAUCAUUUUUGCUGUUUAUUAUAAUUCAUCCAAUUGUCUUAUUAAAUAUAUAAAUUUAUAUAUAUACACAAUUCCUAAUAUAGAAUUUCUAAAAAUGUUUUAUCAUAAUAUUUAAAAAUGAAACAAACAUGUUCCCAGAACACAGCCACAUAAUGUCAACAUGUUCCCAGAACACAGCCACAUAAUGUCAACAUGUUCCCAGAAGACAGCCACAUAAUGUCAACAUGUGCCCAGAAAAAACAAAAUGGCAACAUGUUCCCAGAACACACAAAAUGGCAACAUGUGCCGAGAACAAUGCCCCUUACAGAUGACAUGUUCCCAGAACACAGCCCGUAGUUGGUCUGCCAUAAAAAGUUAACAAUACUUUACUUUUUCCUUAACAAUUUUACAAGCACGUAAUAAAGCCAUAAAUCUUUACUGUGGAUAUAGCCAAUAAAUAGGGUAACCUUCACUAUAUGCAAUUUGUAGUUUUCAAUGCCUGUCCCAUGCAUAUUAUUUAGCCUAUUGUUUUGGGCCUUGCUUCAUUUACUCAAUAAAUUAUAUAGGCAUGAGAAUUUUCAUUUUAAUCUGCAAAAGCUACAUUCUGUACAUUAUUAUUUUCAAACUACAUCAUAUAUUUUUCUCUUCUCUGAUAAAAAAUAUUCCUCAUAUUGUUUGUGUCAAGUAUUUUAUUUUUAUCUAUGCAAUGCUAUAUUCUUAUUUUAUAAUAAUUACUUUUAUACAAAUUCUUUUGAAAACUGUUCUUUAUUGAUUUGUAUCAUUUUCUUUAUUUCUGAAAAAUAAAACUUUGUUUGGGAAUCC